UAUAACUGUCUUGUUGAUGUUUAUUUUUCCAUUUGUGAUAAGGGUCAUAUGUCAUGUCUCCAUUGCAGCAGGUGCUGUACAAACAUGGACUGUCCAUCCCCCAAACCGUUCACAAAGUCUUUUGCUUCGAAUGGGUACUGAAGUCAUUAAAGCAUACAAGCCCUUUGACAAGAGUUUCUUUAGAGGAUGUAGGACUACUUAUUUCUCAUCCAGAAAGCAAUGAAGAGCAAGGAAAGCAACACAGUGGAGGGAACUAUGUAAAGUCGCACUGGACAAACCCAGCCUGUGAGGCCACAGGAGCUCUGGGAGUGCAAUAUCAUUUCAUCACAAGCUGAGGACCAUGCUCUCGGCUGGGUUCUGGAGCUGAUUGCCAGACAGAGGAUGAUACAACCCUGAGACGCUAAUUACAACUGAGCUUUUCCAGACUUUACAGUCCCCUGUGGAUGAAAAAUGAUAAAAAAGAUUCUCCAGGGAUGCCUGCCUGGUAUUAGGAAGGUGUCCUUUCCAUAUUGCCAGUCUCCUAAUGACUUGCUCCAGUGUGAGGUGGGUUCUGAGCCACAAAUGGUAUUUUUCGCUGUGUAUUUUGUUUGUUAUGGCUGAACAUAAACAGGGCUCUGUGGGGCUGUUCGGUGGAGCUGCCAUAGAAGAAGGAAGCUCUUUGAGGUUUCCUCAGAGUAAUAUUGCAGUGCUUUGUGUGAUGAGUACCAGAGCCCAUACUGCCAGGCAGAGCAAAUGGAACUCAGAGCUGAAAAUAAAAUAUUUUUAAUUAAAAUCCA
rnacentral:lncRNA from 1 species